UACGUAGGGGGCAAGCGUUGUCCGGAAUCAUUGGGCGUAAAGAGCGUGUAGGCGGCCUGGUAAGUCCGCUGUGAAAGUCCAGGGCUCAACCCUGGAAUGCCGGUGGAAACUGUCAGGCUCGAGUCCGGAAGAGGCGAGUGGAAUUCCUGGUGUAGCGGUGAAAUGCGCAGAUAUCAGGAAGAACACCCGUGGCUAAGGCGGCUCUCUAGUACGGUACUGACGCUGAGACGCGAAAGCGUGGGUAGCAAACAGG
rnacentral:rRNA from 1 species